GAACGCUGGCGGAAUGCUUUACACAUGCAAGUCGAACGGCAGCACGGACUUCGGUCUGGUGGCGAGUGGCGAACGGGUGAGUAAUAUAUCGGAACGUGCCCAGUCGUGGGGGAUAACGUAGUGAAAAUUACGCUAAUACCGCAUACGAUCUACGGAUGAAAGCGGGGGACUCGCAAGAGCCUCGCGCGAUUGGAGCGGCCGAUAUCAGAUUAGGUAGUUGGUGAGGUAAAGGCUCACCAAGCCCGCGAUCUGUAGCUGGUCUGAGAGGACGACCAGCCACACUGGAACUGAGACACGGUCCAGACUCCUACGGGAGGCAGCAGUGGGGAAUUUUGGACAAUGGACGCAAGUCUGAUCCAGCCAUUCCGCGUGCAGGAUGAAGGC
rnacentral:rRNA from 1 species